GGAUCCCAUCAAAACUCCGAAGUUAAGCGUGCUUGGGCGAGAGUAGUACUAGGAUGGGUGACCUCCUGGGAAGUCCUCGUGUUGCAUUCCU
rnacentral:rRNA from 1 species